UAAUAUCAUCUACAUUUAGAUCAAUGACUUCAAUAUUGUUCAAAGAAAUACCAGCUACAAAUAAUAAGCAAAAUAGUUUUUAAAAUUAUUAAAUAAAUGGAAGAAAUCACCAAGUGUUGUUUAGUUACAUAAUCUUCAUUUAAAUUAAUACCAAGAGUAACACAGGUUGGAAAAAUACUUGGUACUGAUGACUUUUUUAAAGUUUGUUUGGUCCCAGCAAUGUUUAAAGUAUAAUCUGUUUGUGCAAAAUGAUUACCACAUAUGACAGUAUUUGCAGAUUUAUACUUAAACUUAGGAUCAAAAUCUUGUAUGGUGUUAAUCCACUUAUUAAGAUCUACAGUUUCCUUGGGAAAUCUAUGAAAAAUAUGUAUAAUAAAUAAACUUAUUUUUUUAA